rnacentral:lncRNA from 1 species
GGGUCGAAUCGUAGCUGUAGCCACCGGCCUACGCCAGAGCCACAGCAACGCAGGAUCCGAGCCGCAUCUGCAACCUACACCACAGCUCACGGCAACGCCGGAUCGUUAACCCACUGAGCAAGGGCAGGGACCGAACCCGCAACCUCAUGGUUCCUAGUCGGAUUCGUUAACCACUGCGCCACGACGGGAACUCCCCCACUAUCUUUUUUAACAAAAUUAAAAAUAAUACCAAAAUCUCAUCUUGUAUCUAUAUAUUUAGAUGUUCCAAUUGUCCCCAAUAUGUCAUUUGUAGCUUUUUUAUGAACCAGAAAUCAAUAAAGGUUCACAUGGUAUGUUUUGUUACAUCUCUUUAGUUUCUUUUAAUAUGGUUUAGUCUUCUUAUUCUGCAUAUGUAUAUCUCUGUUUGUGAGACUGAUAUUUUUAUGUUUGUUUUUUCCUUUUUGACUGCCUUCUUGCGGCAAUGCUGGAUCCUUAACUUGCUGAGGGAUCGAACCUGCAUCCUCAUGGAUAGUAGCCAGGUUCUUAACCCACUGAGCCACAAUGGGAACUCUUUUUUUUUACAAGAGAAAAGAGCAAGCCACAGAACAAACAGCUGAAGACAAGAGGUUGGCUUAUUGGUCAACAUUUUUCUUUAUAUACUUAUUGUCAUAACCUUUGGUUUUGUGAUGUAGAGCUACUUCUGUCAAUUUAGAUUCAAGCAUAAUGAUAAGACUUUGAGAAAGAGCACAGAAAUAACAUCAUGUUUUGGUUCACUGCCCUCUGAGAAAAUGAUUUGUAAGUUGACAAAGCAAGAAGAGCUAAUAUAUUUAGCAAAAGCAACUCAUAGAGGAAUAAUAAAGGGGUCAAAACCAGGCAUUUUAGAAAUGGAAAUUAAAGAACUUUGGGAAAUUAUUUUCACAAAGAUUAUUUACCAGUUAAUAUUGAUAAUAACAAGUACUAAUAGUAACCAUAAAUUUAGAGAACUCGCAUCAUAAUCCUCAAGUUUUAUAAGGUGAAAUUAUGUACUUAAUGCAGGAACUAGUUUCACAGGUAGAUGGUUAUAGUGUGAAACAAACCAGGUGUUUGAGUUUUAUAAAUAUAUUUUUAUUGUGUAAAAUGUAGCCAUUUGAAUAAUUCAUAGGAAUCUUGUUCUGUUAAUAUUCUCUGUUGAAGAGAGGGUAAAUUAUUAUUAUAUUAAUAUUUUGUCUUUUUAGGGCUGCUCCCAUGGCAUAUGGAGGUUCCCAGGCUAGGGGUUGAAUUGGAGCUAGAGCUGCCGGCCACGGCCACAGCCACAGCAAUGCAGGAUCGGAGCCAUGUCUGCAACCUACACCACGGCUCGUGGCAAUGCCAGAUCCUUAACCCACUGAGCAAGGUCACGCAUCAAACCUGUGUUCUCAUGGAUACUAGCCAGAAUCGUUCCUACUGAGCCAUGACGGGAACUCCCAAGAGGAUAAAUUAUUUUUAAAGAGAAUUCUUUGGGGAGGGGAGGGGGAUUUGAACCCAUGGCAUAUGGAAGUUCCCACACCAGGGAUAGAAUCUGAGCCACAGCUGUGACCUGCAGCACAGCAGGAACUCCAAAAGGAGAGUUGUUUAUGCAUAGAAUGUGAGAUGAUUUUUUUUUUUAAAAAAGAUUUUUCCCUUUCAGAUAAUGGAUUCAGUUUGAUCAGUGUUUCUCAAUUUUGCACUAGUAAUGUUUUGAGCCAGAUAAGUCCUGGUUGUCUUACACAUUGUAGGAUGUUUAUUAGCACCGCUAGCCACUUGCCACUGGAUACAUGCCAGUAGCACCCUUCCCCAGCCCCACCCCUGGUUAUGACUACUAAAAACGUCUCCAGACAUUGACAAAUGUCUUCUGGGGGCAUUUUAUCCCUGUUUAAGUGUUGUUGAGUUGGAUAAAAGCCACUGGCAUGUGUGAAUUCCUUAAUGAUCUAGGUUUCACUUUAUAUAACCUAUGUAAAGCUGUUGAACACAGUUCCUUUCUGCAGCUUGGCUAUGCUCAAGUAUAUGUUGGAGAACACUGGAAUAUGAUGACAGUUGUUUUAGCUCUGUUAGAGAUUUUAUUGAAGGUGGAACUGAGCUCUUCAUUAGUGAGUCAAAAUAUAUUUCUUUUACUUUAUCUUAUCCCCCCCACCUCCCAGUUUGUCUGGGAAAGAACCUUAUUAGCUAUAUGUUAUGGAUAAAGUUUUUGUUUGGAAUAAUUGAGAAAUUUGGUAUCUUUGAGGUGAUCUGUUUGUAUCUUGGCAUUCAAAAAAGAUAGUUUUGGAAUUCUGUUGUGAUGCAGGGGAUUGAGGAUUUGAUAUUGUCAUUGCAGUGGCUUGGGUUGCUGCUGUGGUGUGAGUUUAGUCUCUGGCCUGGAAACUUCUAUUUGGCAUGGGCAUGGCCAAAAAAAGUCUUUAAAAAAAAAUGGUUGGUGGAGUUUCCCGUCAUGGCUCAGCAGAAAUGAAUCUGACUAGUAUCCAUGAGGACGCAGGUUCAAGCCCUGGCCUCUAUCAGUGGGUUAAGGAUCUGGUGUUGCCAUGAACUGUGGUGUAGGUCACAGUCGUGACUGAGAUCUUGUGUUGCUGUGGCUGUGGCAUAGGCCAGCGGCUACAGCUCUGAUUGGACCCCUAGUCUGGGAACCCCUGGUGGGGCCCUGAAGAAAAAAAAAAUAGUUACUUGCUAAAGGGCUUUCUCUUCUUUGUUAAUCUUUGUCCUUAAAAAUUUUCUUUUUUUCCUUUUUUGCCCUCCCCCACCCGAGGCAUAUGGAAUUCCCCCGCCAGGGAUCAGAUCUGAGCGGCAGUUAUGACCUAUGCCACAGCUGUGACAGUGCCAGAUCCUUUAAUCCACUGUGCCGGGCUGGGGAUCGAACCUGUGUCCUGGUGCUGCAGAGAUACUGUCAAUACAUUGUGCCACAGUGGAAACUCCAGAAUUUUUUUAAUUAUGUGUAAAUUCUGCCAAUGAGGAAAAUGAUGUAGGCAUCUUAUUAGGGGAAGGGAGAGGGAAUACAUACAGUUGGGAAAAGUGGAGUAAUGAGAAUGAUUUAAUAAAUAUUAGUUUAAAAGAUUGAAACAUCUCAAGUAAGAAUUUCAGAGGAGACCGCUUGGGAGGCCUCAGGCUCUGGCUAUGGUAGCCUUUGCUGCCAAGAAGGGAGAGAGAGAGGAGUGCAGGUUCAUUUUAACAGAGAUAAAAUAUAUAUAUAUAUAAACUGGGGGAAAAAAAAA